rnacentral:rRNA from 1 species
GAUGGACGCUGGCGGCGUGCCUAAUACAUGCAAGUCGAGCGAACGGACGAGAAGCUUGCUUCUCUGAUGUUAGCGGCGGACGGGUGAGUAACACGUGGAUAACCUACCUAUAAGACUGGGAUAACUUCGGGAAACCGGAGCUAAUACCGGAUAAUAUUUUGAACCGCAUGGUUCAAAAGUGAAAGACGGUCUUGCUGUCACUUAUAGAUGGAUCCGCGCUGCAUUAGCUAGUUGGUAAGGUAACGGCUUACCAAGGCAACGAUGCAUAGCCGACCUGAGAGGGUGAUCGGCCACACUGGAACUGAGACACGGUCCAGACUCCUACGGGAGGCAGCAGUAGGGAAUCUUCCGCAAUGGGCGAAAGCCUGACGGAGCAACGCCGCGUGAGUGAUGAAGGUCUUCGGAUCGUAAAACUCUGUUAUUAGGGAAGAACAUAUGUGUAAGUAACUGUGCACAUCUUGACGGUACCUAAUCAGAAAGCCACGGCUAACUACGUGCCAGCAGCCGCGGUAAUACGUAGGUGGCAAGCGUUAUCCGGAAUUAUUGGGCGUAAAGCGCGCGUAGGCGGUUUUUUAAGUCUGAUGUGAAAGCCCACGGCUCAACCGUGGAGGGUCAUUGGAAACUGGAAAACUUGAGUGCAGAAGAGGAAAGUGGAAUUCCAUGUGUAGCGGUGAAAUGCGCAGAGAUAUGGGAGGAACACCCAGUGGCGAAGGCGAUUUUCUGGUCUGUAGCUGACGCUGAUGUGCGAAAGCGUGGGGAUCAAACACG